rnacentral:lncRNA from 1 species
UCAUGAUCGACAUGGACUUGUUGGAGAUGCCCACGUCGGGGUGCACCUGCUUGAGCACGCGGUAGAUAAAGGUCGAGUAGGAGGCAUAGUCCUUCUUGUGGCGGUGCGUCUUGCGCUUGACGCCGUCGAGCGAUUCGGUCUUGCCUACGCCGCCCAAAGCCGCGCCCUUUUUCUUCUUGGCGAUCUUCUUGGUCUUUUUGGCGGCACCGGGCUCGUGUUUGGCGACGGUAUCGGCCGCGGCGCCAAUGUCCCCGGUGCCGAGGCCGCUGGUUUGGUCCUCAAGCGUGGGCGGGGCGGCCACGGGCGCGUCCGUGUCCAUGGGCAGCG